rnacentral:rRNA from 1 species
AGCAGCCGCGGUAAUUCCAGCUCCAAUAGCGUAUAUUAAAGUUGUUGCAGUUAAAAAGCUCGUAGUUGAAUUUUAGGCCUGGCCGGGCGGUCCGUCUUUGGCGAGUACUGUCCUGUGUCGGGUCCACCUUCUGGUGAACCAGUAUGUCCUUUAUUGGGUGUGCCGGGGAGCCAGGACCAUUACCUUGAAAAAUUAGAGUGUUUAAAGCAGGCAUUUGCUUGAAUAGAUUAGCAUGGAAUAAUAGAAUAGGACGUUGUGGUUCUAUUUUGUUGGUUUCUAGGACCACCGUAAUGAUUAAUAGGGAUAGUUGGGGGCAUUAGUAUUCAAUUGUCAGAGGUGAAAUUCUUGGAUUUAUUGAAGACUAACUAUUGCGAAAGCAUUUGCCAAGGAUGUUUCAUUAAUCAAGAACGAAAGUUAGGGGAUCGAAGACGAUCAGAUACGUCGUAGUCUUAACCAUAAACUAUGCCGACUAGGAAUCGGGCGUACGUUUAUUUUCAUGACUCGCUCGGCGCCUUAGUGG